UCCCAGACUCCUACGGGAGGCAGCAGUGAGGAAUAUUGGUCAAUGGGCGCGAGCCUGAACCAGCCAAGUCGCGUGAGGGAUGACGGCCCUACGGGUUGUAAACCUCUUUUGUCGGGGAGCAAAUUCCGUUACGUGUAACGGAGUCGAGAGUACCCGAAGAAAAAGCAUCGGCUAACUCCGUGCCAGCAGCCGCGGUAAUACGGAGGAUCCGAGCGUUAUCCGGAUUCAUUGGGUUUAAAGGGUGCGUAGGUGGUUUUAUAAGUUAGCGGUGAAAUACCGAUGCUCAACAUCGGGGCUGCCGCUAAUACUGUAGGACUAGAGAUCGGAUGCAGCAGGCGGAAUGUGUAGUGUAGCGGUGAAAUGCAUAGAUAUUACACAGAACACCGAUUGCGAAGGCAGCUUGCUAGGCCGGAUCUGACACUGAUGCACGAAAGCGUGGGGAUCGAACAGGAUUAGAUACCCCAGUAUC
rnacentral:rRNA from 1 species